rnacentral:rRNA from 5 species
ACGGGUGAGUAACGCGUGGGAAUCUACCGUGCCCUGCGGAAUAGCUCCGGGAAACUGGAAUUAAUACCGCAUACGCCCUACGGGGGAAAGAUUUAUCGGGGUAUGAUGAGCCCGCGUUGGAUUAGCUAGUUGGUGGGGUAAAGGCCUACCAAGGCGACGAUCCAUAGCUGGUCUGAGAGGAUGAUCAGCCACAUUGGGACUGAGACACGGCCCAAACUCCUACGGGAGGCAGCAGUGGGGAAUAUUGGACAAUGGGCGCAAGCCUGAUCCAGCCAUGCCGCGUGAGUGAUGAAGGCCUUAGGGUUGUAAAGCUCUUUCACCGGAGAAGAUAAUGACGGUAUCCGGAGAAGAAGCCCCGGCUAACUUCGUGCCAGCAGCCGCGGUAAUACGAAGGGGGCUAGCGUUGUUCGGAAUUACUGGGCGUAAAGCGCACGUAGGCGGAUAUUUAAGUCAGGGGUGAAAUCCCAGAGCUCAACUCUGGAAUGCCCUUUGAUACUGGGUAUCUUGAGUAUGGAAGAGGUAAGUGGAAUUCCGAGUGUAGAGGUGAAAUUCGUAGA